rnacentral:lncRNA from 1 species
UCUUCGCUCCUCUACCCCAUAAAAUUCCCUACAAAUGCAAAAAUUCGAGAUAGAAGAAGCCGUCCCUGAAAUUGCUGUCUAACAUUCACCGGAAACCUCUCCAUAAACAAGGAGAAACGAAUGCACACGCAUUUUUGCUAAGAAGCCCGGGAUUAAGAUUUAAGGAUACAAGCUGAAAGAAAAAAUGAAAAAUGCUUCUCCGCGCGUCAAUCGAGGGGUGGAUGCGCCACGCAGCGUGAGCCCAGCUCACAGCCACGCGUAAGACCAAAAGCUGCCAUGGGUUCUGCGCGCGGAGACCUCAGAGCCGAAGAGAGAAGUCCCCGCGUCAGAAACGCUGCGGAUGCCAGGUCUUGAAAAUGCUGACUUCUGAGGCUAAGAAUUAUUUCAAAGACAAAAAGAAAAGACUGGUGAGGAGGCCUUCCGGUGCAAGGGCGCCUAUCCGCUAAUUUUGGAUGGGGAAGUAGGGAUUAUUCGUUUAAAUUCAAUCGCGAGCACCAAGUCGGACUGGCCGGGGAUGGAGAAGGGCAACCCCCACCUUUAGAAAAAUAAAAGAUCUCGAAGGCCC